CGGAACGAAAUGAAAAGUGAAUUUUCCUACAUUGCCAAUCAGAGCAACAAAGACAUUUUUUUGUUAAAAUAUCAACAAAAAAUACAAUAAAAAAUAUUUUUCUCUAAAUCUAAAGUGAGUUAACAACUUCCGUUCAGUGUUUCCUGAAGUUUUUUCCAUAUAAUUUAUGUGAAAACGUGUUAAAUCGUGUCGUGUUUGUUGGUGAUAAAAAUAUUAUUAAAUAAUUUUAUCAUUAUUCUACAAUAGUGUAUGUUUAGGCGGCCUAAUUAAAGGUCGACAGCAUUGUCGAGGAUUCUGUGGUGCUUAUAACAUUACAAACAGUAUGGACUGGACAGACAGUGCAGUUUUGUGAUUAAUAGCCAAUACAGCAAUAAUAAUAUAUCAACAUGUCUUCCUCAUUUGAAACGACGGAAAUGCUGGAGAAGACUCCUGCGUAAGUAU